UAUUAGGUUUCCUAUUUGUUUUUAUGUUCGCUUGAUUCUUCCUUAGCCUCUCCCUCUCCCUCUCUCUCCUCAUUCGUUCUUCUUCAUCUUCUCUAAAUGCUCUGGUUUUGAGGCCUCAAAUCCCGCCAAUUUUCCGAUAUGUUCCUCUAUAAUCUGCUACUUUCGAUUCUCUGUUCAUACUAGAUCUGUCAAAUUUUUUUUUCGUCAAUCGAUCUUUCGACGAGUUGUGAGGAGCCGAAUUUUGAUUCGGAAUUGAUUCUGAUUUUGGGGGUUAUAAUACUGGUGAAUCAACAGUUGAUUUUUUGCGGUGAUAUUCGAAAUUGCGAAGAGAUUUGUGGUUCCUUGAUCGCUAUUGAUGUUGUUGUUCAUUGUUUAGGGUUAUUUGCGAUUUAAAUUCCCUUUUUCUUAUCUUAUUCUAUCUUCUCUUACCUAGUUUUCAAUUUUUUAUGCCAGAUCUACGAUUUUUGUUCAAUCAAUGUCUCAUUCUGUUUUUAUUUUGAAUUUUCAGGUGAUUUCAGAGGUGGGUUUUUUUUAUAAAAUUUGAAUCUUCCUACAAUUUGCAAGAUAUUCAGAUGAAGAAUUUGGUGAUUCUGUAAUUUCUGCUUCUAGAAUUCGUUGUUUCUGGUAUUUUCCUCGGUACCCAUUUUUUUCAAUUUUUUCCCUUUAUUUCUCUGAUUUUUCCUCCAAUUGAUGCCUAAUUAUUUAGAGUGUUAAUUAUUGAUUGAUUUUUACUAUCAGUUCGUUUAGAUCAAAUGUAAUGCUAAAAUCUUUGUUUGCAAUUGGUUUUCAAACUUCUUGUUAUUAUUGUUUGAAGCUGCGGCAUUAUCCUAGAGUCUAAGUGUCUCUGCAUGUGUAGUUAUUCUUACAAUGGGAAAAGAAUGAGAAAGAAAUUGCCCACCCCUGUCUGUUGUAGAUCAUCUCAAACAUAUUGAUGGCAGAAAUAUUAAAGAUAUGAUACGCUUGGUGGUUUUCCCAGCUACAAACUUCUAUGUUUAUAAUAUAAAAAUCUUGUCAUAUCUUAAUCAUGUGAGGGUUGGGCAACUGAUUUUAGGGUAGUAUACGUUUGGGCUUCGUAUACAUUGAGAUUCGUGCAGGGCAAUCAUGUCUACUUGUGGAGAUUAAGAUGACUGCAUUCCUCUGGAGUAGAUUUAAAGAAAAUUGAAUUGUUGUUUAUGUGAUGAAUAUGAUAAUUAUGUUUAAUUUUUGGUUGUAGAGUGCGGUUAAUACUGCCUUGGCAGAUUCUGAGUGUGCUAGUAUUGGUAAGUCUGAUGCUAGAUUGUCAUGUUUUUAUGACAAGGUUUCACUAUUAUUAAUGUACUAAACUUUGGAACUUUUUGUUGGUAUAAUUAUUCCCAUUAAUCUUGAAGUAAAGAGAUUUGUAUGAUGUAUUUAUUAGAUUGUUGCUUUCGAAAUAUGAGUGAUUCUCCCUUUUAUUGCACAAAUUUAACAUGUGAUUUAACUUUUGUGGAAUUAUAAAUUAUUCUUUGCUGGAUGUUAUGAAUACAUGACAUGCUUAUUAUCAUAGUUGUAAUGCCAGACCGUGAUUCUCUUUGUCCUGCUUUAGACCUUUUGCUUUAUAUGUGACUGUUCUUAUAAAAGGAGUUCACCUUAUUCAAUCAAAUUGAAAUUCGAUUGUGAGUAUAACCUUAAUGGCUCAGCACAACAAUUUGACUCAAUUUGUUAGGUUGUGUCCUUUUAAGUUUUCUUUAGGUUAAGCUUGAUGCCUUUUAAGAUUGAUCCUUAGGUCGUCUCCUUUUAAGUUUUCUUUAAGGUUGAUGAUAAAUUAAGAGACAUGAUAUAUUAUCUUACUUUUCUUUGAUCAUAUGUUGUGGUUUGAUUCAUGAAUUUAAUAUUAUACUUUGAUGCUAGUUGAGUUGAUUCAUGAUAUGAAGUAACAAUGUUUAAAUUCUAAUGGACCUGAUCUUUCUUAUAAGAAUUAUCAAUCAUGUUAUGUCUUAUGUGUAAUCACCCUUGCUUAUUGAUUAUGUUCAGCAACUACAUUUGAGCUAUGCUACAUUGCUACUGUCAUAUUCCGUAAUGUUUCUAUGAGUACUGCUGUGUGUUUACACAAGUUUAAUGGACUCCUUAUAACUUAUGAUGCCAAUAAUACGUUGCACUUUAUUGGCAAUGGUUUCUAGUCUUAUCUAGUUCCUGCUUUAGUUAUUGUAUCUGUUCUAAUGUACUCUUGGAGUAUACUCUUCUGGUAGUGCUAAUUUAUGCUCAUUUGGAGACAUUGGGGAAGGGAGGAGGAAUAAAGUGGCGCUGAGGCCUGAGAUGGAGACAAAGGCAGUAUAUACCUAUAUAUUGAACAAUUUAUUUUGUGACAAAUGUGAUGAACGAAUUCAGAAGAUCCAAACAAUCAAAAUGAUAAUUGGAGGGAAUCUUUAUUUGUGCUGCUCCUCACUGCCUCAGGACUUAUCUGGAAAAGUCUGUAUUUGAGUCCCACAUACAUGAAAGCCAUGCCGAUUUGCUUCAGCCUAAUAUGAAAAGGGAAGAGAUGAGUGAACCAGAAGGAUCAAACUCUAAGCCCUCUUCAACCAUAGAUACAACACUUUGAGGUCCAUCAAGGCCUAAUUUUUCUCCUAGUCCAAAUCAUCAGGUGAAUGAUCGUGAGGAUAAAGUUCGCUGCCAGCAACAUUGCCUGGUAUUUGUCUUUAUUAAGCAUUUGUUGGUUGUUAAGGUUGACAAGUGUUAGAAGUCUUUUCAUUGAGAUUCUGCUUGAAAUUGCCUGUAUUUUGUAUAGUAGAAGCUUGGUGAAAUUGAGAAACUUGCAUUGAUAGUUUCAGAGGUUAGUUAUUACUUAUUAGAAUGUGGGCGUAAUGUGUGAUCUGUGUUACUUGGUGUAACAGAUAAGAAUAAGAUAUAAUCUAUGUAGUCUGGUGGACUGUUUUCUGGAAAUUCUGUUAUGGUCUACUUUAAGUAAUAUACUGUGAUUCUCUCAUUGAUUUUAUCUUAUUUACUUUAAGUAACAUACUGUGAUUCAAAUCAUAGGAAUGCGGUUUUUUUGGUCUGAUGGCUAUGUCAAACUCUAAAAUAUAUUCUCAUGCUUUUACUGAGAAAGCUUACAUUGCCUUCUUAAAGAGCUUCUUAUGUUGAUUUAUAACAUGAAAAUAUGUCUAUAUUCACCUUAUUAAUUAGCUUGUUCAUGGAAGGAGGGAUUGCUGAUAAACUAUCGCUGGAUCUUGUAGCCGUUUGCGGGUUUGGCAUAUUAGAACCACUCAGUGUUUGUGACACCUUAAACGUGUUCAUUCUAUGGGAAUUACAAAUUGUUUUUCCCGAGACGGAAGUCAGAUAUUGAGUACAUCUUUUGACAGUAAUGCCAGGAUUCAUGGUUUGAAGUCUGGGAAAUCGUUGAAGGAAUUUCGUGGGCAUACUUCUAAUGUGAAUCAUGCGAUAUUUACAAAUGACAGCAGCCGUGUGAUCACAGCAUCCAUCUAGAUGUUUCAACCAGUCAUUUUUUUUUUUUUUUUAAUUUUUGUUUUUGUAUAUUUUUUAAUUUGUAAUGAAUGUAUACUUCAUAAUUAACAUUUUCUUGAGGAAUACUUCAUAAUAAACAUAAGUUUUAGUAUAUAA